rfam:Pleurotus ostreatus PC15 unplaced genomic scaffold scaffold_08, whole genome shotgun sequence.
CCACCACUCUGGCCUUUUGGCUUAGAUCAAGUGUAGUAUCUGUUCUUAAUAGUUUAACCACUAUUAUGGGGGCACCGCCCCCAUUCAUUGGUUAUCUUAUUUUUGCCGCCCCUAGUUCCUGUGCUCUGCUUGCAACACGGGGGCUGCGAUGACCUUGCUGCUGCACUACUGGCUUGUGUCGUCAGGGGAUU